ensembl:misc_RNA
UUGACAGCCCUGGAGCCUGAAGGCCUCUGUGUAGCAACAGGGCAGAUACAGAGCGGACAGCAACAAGGAAAUCUUCCCACCCUCAAACUGCCUCAGGGCUGAGCAGGACAGACCACCUCUAGGCAUGAGAGGGGAUUAAAAUCUCUAGGGUCUAUUCAGUCUUUGUAUUAU